GACGAACGCUGGCGACGUGCCUAAUACAUGCAAGUCGAGCGGACCAAUAGAAGCUUGCUUCUAUUGGUUAUCGGCGGACGGGUGAGUAACACGUGGGCAACCUGCCUGUAAGACUGGGAUAACUUCGGGAAACCGGAGCUAAUACCGGAUAAUUCAUCCCCUCGCAUGAGGGGGUGCUGAAAGUCGGUUCACGCUGACACUUUCAGAUGGGCCUGCGGCGCAUUAGCUAGUGGGUGAGGUAAUGGCGCACCAAGGCGAAGAUGCGUAGCCGACCUGAGAGGGUGAUCGGCCACACUGGGACUGAGACACGGCCCAGACUCCUACGGGAGGCAGCAGUAGGGAAUCUUCCACAAUGGACGAAAGUCUGAUGGAGCAACGCCGCGUGAGCGAUGAAGGCCUUCGGGUCGUAAAGCUCUGUUGUUAGGGAAGAACAAGUACCGGAGUAACUGCCGGUACCUUGACGGUACCUAACCAGAAAGCCACGGCUAACUACGUGCCAGCAGCCGCCGUAA
rnacentral:rRNA from 1 species